rnacentral:rRNA from 1 species
UCGGACCUUGCACUAUCGGAUGAACCCAUAUGGGAUUAGCUAGUAGGUGGGGUAAAGGCUCACCUAGGCGACGAUCUCUAGCUGGUCUGAGAGGAUGAUCAGCCACACUGGGACUGAGACACGGCCCAGACUCCUACGGGAGGCAGCAGUGGGGAAUAUUGCACAAUGGGCGCAAGCCUGAUGCAGCCAUGCCGCGUGUAUGAAGAAGGCC